rnacentral:lncRNA from 1 species
GCCGACCACUGUCGGCACUGGAGGAUUCCAAGAAGAGACCACCACCGCCACUGGAGGAUGCCAAAUAGGAAAGAUAAGAGGUUGUUAAAGAAGAAAAAAAGAGAAGGUUUGUUACUUUCCAUUUUCUUCAAUAGUUUGUUUAGGAUGUUGAUUUGUGCCAUCAACACAUCCAAAUAGAUGUUCCCUAUGUUUUCUAUUUUGGUAUUUGAAUUUAUGUGGUCAAUCCAUUUAAAAAUAAUAAAUUUUCCCUAAAAACUGCUCAUUUUUUUCUUCUGAGUUACAUAAAUUAUAGGUUUCUGCUAGAGGUGAAGAGAACAAGAUGCUUUCUUGAAAUUAGUCUUGAAAUUAGCCCACACCUAUUCUAAAUUGUCAUGAAGUGAGCGGAAGAUUUUAGGUGAGUGGAUGGGGGUAUGAUUGAUUCGAUAAUUUAAAAUGCAUUGUGUUCAUUAAUGAUUUAAAAUGCAUUGACGAAGUAAGAGAGUUUUGCAACGGGAUUAAGAUAUUUUCCAAUAUCAUGCUAAGAAUAGUUUAGAUUUCUAGAAGAGGAUCUCAUUCGUUUGAUGAGAAAUAAAAAAGGAAUAUCGAAAAUUCUUAAGUAGCUACUUUCUAAGUAACAAAAAGAAAAGCAACGACUGAAGUAAGAGAGUCAUAAUCAAAAAGAAGAUUCCUUACUUCUUUCUCUCUCUCAUGAACCUUUAGGUUUUAGGGGCAUUGGAUUCCUACCAAUAUUUGCAUUUCUCAAGUUGAGAUUCUUGCUUUCUCUUCAUCCACCAUUGCAAGCGCGGGGGCUUCCUUCUACGGUGGAACGCUUCCUUACCAAUGUAUUUUUGCAUCCCACAGUCUCGAUAGAUCGUUUAGUCCCCAUUCAUCUUCGAUGUAAGAGUGCUCGACCAGUAAGCUAUUAUGGCACUUUUUCAAGUGUGGUUGCACUUUUGUGAAAUGAUCUAAAAAAAUAGAUAAUUUGCACAGAAGUUGUGCAGUGGCUUCGUAAAGUGGUAUCAUGAUGUCCUUCUCGUAAGGUUCUGUUUUGUUUCGUCUUCGAUUCUCAGUUUUUUCUCGAAAUGGUUUUAAAAGUUUUUUAUUUUUAUUUUUUGUCUUUCAGAAUCGUGGAAUGGUAAGAAAUUCAUAUGAUCUUUCUAUUUGUAGGGUUCCUUUGUGAUUGUUUUGCUAAAAAAAUUUGUAUCUUUACAUCUCCAUAUGUUAUACUUGAUAUUUUUUUAAAAAUCUUAGGCGACAAUGAUCUACAUUGAUAAUUUUGAGUGGCUAUGGAAGGAUCACUACUCUCAAUUGAUUCUAACUUUGAGCUGAAGCUGUUAAUAUUAUAUUUAGCUUAAAAACCCAAGUAUUUUCUUUUUGCCCUUUUCACAUUUUUUUCCCAUUGUACGUGAUGGUUAUUAGGAUUUUUUCAUUGUUCUUUUGUAUAAUUUUAAUCGACAUUAAUUUGAAGUAUUCUUCUCAAGCAAUAAUGCUUAAGAUCAUAUCGUUGCAGUAAAAAUCGAUAUUUAAUUAAAGGUUCUUUUUCAACCAUUGACGAGAAGUCUGUAUUGCACUCUUUUUUUCUUGACUAAAGUUUUGUUCCAUUGAAUUUUUCCGUCCAUAUUUUUAAUGAGAACAAUUUUGCAGCGUAAUCAUAAAAAUAAUGUAUUACUCAUUGUCCUAUAUUUGAAUUUUUUUUAUAGGAUUUUUUAAUAAGGUUUUAAUGAGUCAUAUUCUUUGUGUAAUGAUCUACAAGAUAGUUAUCCUCAAAUCAUGCUCUCAUACGUUACAAAUUGUGUACGAAACUCCUAGAGAAAAUAAUAACAAUGUCUGUUUUCUUUGAAUUAUAAUGCUACUAAAGUCACUAAAGAUUGAUAAAUAUUUAGUAGAAGAUGAUAUUGUUUAAAGAAUAUAACGAGUCAAUAUGAACUAUAGUUUACAAGAAUUGUGAUAUUGAAGACAUUAGCAUAAAAGACAUGAAUGACUUGGUACAAGAACUUUCAUUUAUUUAAAUCAAGGGAGUAGUUAUACUUUUUUUCCUUCGCUCAAGUUUUGUCCCAUUGAAUAUUUUUAAUGAGACAGUUUUUGUGCAAAUAAAUGUUAUUGAAGAUUAUUUAGUCUAAUCAAUAUAUUUAGAGAAGUUUUACUUAUUCUAGAAGAAUGUAUUCUAUUUCUCACUAAAACCCUUUAUAUAUGGGUCUUUAAUAUAACAAAAUACAUACUAGUUUUCAUUCUUUUCAUUUCUUCUCUUACAAUUCUUUCUCUUUUCUCUUAGUUUUAUAACAACGAAAGCACUAUAAGAUUGUUAGAAAAUCCUGAAAAUGUUAUGAAUUUAGUUUUUCACUAUCACUAUUUAUGGACUUCAAAUUCGACCUCUAAAUUUUUUUUUCAAAUUUGAAAUUUGAAAUUAAAAUUUCAAUCAUUGCCAGGUACCAUCAUUGCAAGUGUAUGUAGAAAAUAAGCCAUGCAAGCCGCUAUCCUUGGCAAGUUAGUUCAUGCUGACAACUCGCCUCGAAUCCAAGUCGGGUCAGCAAGGGUUGUGAGUGGGGCUAGCCGAGCCGACGAUCUGACGAAACGGCUUGCCCCAUUUGCCAUCCCUAGGUCACUUGGGUGACAAGCAUGUAUACUCACACUCACCACUCUACUACAAUAACUUGUGUGUCAGUAAAUUGAAAAUUAAGCCCUUGUUUGAUUGUCAUUAUUUGGAAAAUAUAAUAUUUUAAAUAGUGCUUUUUAAGAGAUUGUAUGGUUAAAAAGUUUGUGUACCAUUUGAUUUCAAAGUAUAUUACAUUACCA